rnacentral:rRNA from 1 species
UACGUAGGGUGCAAGCGUUAAUCGGAAUUACUGGGCGUAAAGCGUGCGCAGGCGGUUAUGCAAGACAGAUGUGAAAUCCCCGGGCUCAACCUGGGAACUGCAUUUGUGACUGCAUGGCUAGAGUGCGGCAGAGGGGGAUGGAAUUCCGCGUGUAGCAGUGAAAUGCGUAGAUAUCGGAAGGAACACCAGUGGCGAAAGCGGCGUACUGGGUCUUAUCUGACGCUGAGGCACGAAAGCUAGGGGAGCGAACGGG